AAGAAAUUAGUUAAUUAAUAAUAUUAACUUGUCAAGUUAAAGUAACCUAAAGGUAUUUCUUU
rnacentral:tRNA from 1 species